UUCAGGCUGCGUUUCGAUGUGGCGACUCCGAUAUCUUUUAUUGUGCAUAUUUCACUCAAGGGCCAUAUCAAAGGCCCUGCCAAGAUUAUACGAAAAUUCCUUGUUCCAAGCUUCUUCAAGAACACUUGGUAUGAGUGCACUCAGUGCUUCAACAGUGUAGAGCACAAUAGGCCAAGCACCUUUUACAACAACGCGGAU
rnacentral:lncRNA from 1 species